rnacentral:lncRNA from 1 species
AAAAUAAUUCGCUAAAUACAUGAAAAAUACCAAAUGAAGUCAGAAACAGUUAAAAAUUGAUGAUGUGUCUUUGAAUGGUCGAUUUUGAACACACAAAAAGUUUGGAGUUCAAAUAAGUUCAGAAAAAUGAAAUUCAUUUGUAACAAAUGAGUUUUCGUAUGAAACCAUGAUACUUCGAAAGAGAUUGUCCGUUUUGUACACGAAGUGCAUCCAAUUUUUGCCACAACCCUGUCAACUUUUUAGCACAUGCUAUGUGGGUGAAAUGAUUAUACCAUGCCAACUUUCAACAUUUUCAGAGUUCAUUUGUAGUACUUUUCAAUUUAAG